GAUCUGAAUACUGAAGGGUUGGUAGGGGACCAGAGAAUAGAGGAAGCAUUGUAGGUUCUAGAGUGGAGAAGGGACCAUCCAAAAUGGAGUUUGAAAGAGAAUUCUGGCCUUUGUGUUUAGAGUCUGGAAUUGUCAAGAGUCUGAAAGCACAGAAUAAGACUGCAGCUAGAGCAAUUUAGGCGCCAUAGUUUGUCAAAACAGAGACGGGAUCUCACUGUGUUGCUCAGGCUGGUCUCGAACUGCUGGACUCAAGUCAUCCUCCCAUCUUGGCCUCCCAAAGUGCUGGAAUUACAGUGGACAACCUUCAAUGCACUGGUACUUUGUACCCUGACCUCUACUGUGAUGAACACUCAACUUGGGCAAGAAAGUGAAAUUCUCCAAAGCAAGGAGGAGGGUGCUCUGAAUAGAUGGACCCUGAUUCUACUUACAAAACUGUGGGAAGAAACCGGAGCUUCCUCCCUCUCUGAGACAACGGUGCCACUGAGACUGCGUGAGAUGCGACGUAAAUUCUCUGCACUGUACUGCUCAUCCUCCCCACACUCCCUGCUGAGGCCUCGGCAAGGUGUAGCCUUCAAACACACAGACACAUACAGGCAGACACAUAAUACCAGACUUAUGGUUUUCCCACAGACAGUAUCCUCAGGGUAUGGGAAAGAGUAGGGGAAGACUCAGUAGUAAUAGACACCUGAAUUAGAUGUAUUGGUAAGAUAGUGGCCAUGUAACAAUCUCCUCUAAUUCAAAAGAAGCCCAAUCAUAGACCUUAUUUUCUUCUGAUAGCCCCAUAUCACCAUGCCUCUGCCUUAUCAUCAUCCCUGUCACAUCUCUCCAUAAUUCCUUCCCCAACACACCACCCCAGGCCCAGCACCUUAGCACCUGAGGCUGCUACCUGAGAAGUACGCACUGUUCUGGCUUCAUGGAGACCAUGCUCCAUUUCUGCUGCUGAAGUCUUUGAGAGACCAGGAUCAUGGGCUGAGUGCAACCUCCUCCCCAUGCCAUCUGCAGAGCCUGAAGAGGAAAACACAAAUACAAGUUGAGGCCAUCUCUUCCCCUAGGGCCUACCUCUAAGCCUAGCAGCACAAACUCAGGAGCUGUUGUUUCAUUUAAUAAUAAAUAUGCAUCCUUGAAUUCAACGGAGGAACAUGCUCCUGGAAUUUAGAAGCAAGAGGGGCUGGGCAUGGUGGCUCACACCUGUAAUCCCAGCACUUUGGGAGGCCAACACGGGCAGAUCACGAGGUCAGGAGAUCGAGACCACCCUGGCUAACACGGUAAAACCCUGUCUCUACUAAAAAUACAAAAAAUUAGCCGGGCGUGGUGGCAGGCACCUGUAGUCCCAGCUACUCGGGAGGCUGAGGCAGGAGAAUGGCGUGAACCCGGGAGGCGGAGCUUGCAGUGAACGGAGAUCGCGCCACUGCACUCCAGCCUGGGUGACAGAGCGAGACUCCGUCUCAAAAAAAAAAAAAGAAACAAGAAUUUUAGAAUAUAGAUAGUUUACUGAAUGUCCCCAUCUUGCUUCAUUUCAUUUUUGUAAACAUAAUCAGCUUCUGUCAGACUUAGGCUCAAGACUUAUAGACAGAGGAAAGUAUCUAACACAGUGAGUUUUGUUUUCUAACACAGUGAUUUUCUAAAGUAUCUGUGGUGACAAAGGAAAUUAUCUCCAGUGUAGUUCAGAAUAGAAAUGAUCAUAAUAAUCAUCUAUCAAACCUCCUCAUUUUAUAUAACAGGAAAAUGAGUUCCAGGGUCUGAGAGUUUAGUAGUUUAACCAGGAUUAAAAUUAAAUCCUCUUGAUUUUCAGUACAGUACUCUUACCAUCUCACCUGGUGACCUCUUUUACUCUGAGAGCAGGAGCUCCUCAGGAAUGUUUUACAUAUGUAAUGCUCUUUUCCCCUUAGCUUCUCUCAAAUCAUUUAAAUUUCUAAACAACCACUAAAUGCUUACCUCUCUUCAAAAUCUUUCUAGAUUGUUCAGUUGCUCUAAACUGGAUUGGUGACUCCCAAGGGGCUAUCCCCAAUCCAACUAAUUAAGUUUUCCAUUCCAAAACUGUAUAUGCCCCUGACCUACAUUUGAUACAUAUGUCCAUGGCCAAUUCAUGUCUUGAUUUGAUGAUUUGAUUCUUAUAUAUAUAUAUAUAUCUGGCUGAAGCUGAUAUUAUUCAUGUAAGUAUUGUAAGACCAGUUAUUUUCAGUAUUCCUGGGUACUUAAAUGCAGUGCUUUCAAUACCACCUCAGAUUCAUCUGGGAACUUUUAAAAAUAUAGCUUCCUGGAUGUUACCACAGACCUGAAUCAGAAGGUUUGUGGUUGGUGCCUGGGAAUUUUCAUUUUUGAAAGGUUCCCAAAAAGUCUAAGAAAAUAUCCUUGAACAUUAUUGGGGGAAAUGUGAAAUGUUACAGUCUUCCUAAAAAACAACCUGGUAAUCUCCAAUAAAAUAAAAAAUAUAUUUAUCCUGUUGCCCAAUGAUUCUAAUCCUGAGAAGAAGAAGAAAAAAAUACCAGUUCAUAACAACAUAUAUAUGAGAAUAUUUUCUACUGACAUAAUUUAUAGUAGCCAAGAACUAGAAAUAAAGUAAUGCCCACCUAUAGAAGAAUAAAUACAUUAUGGUUUAAUACCAAAUAUUGUCCAGCCACUUAAAAAGAUUGAACUGAGUUAAACUAGAUGAUUUGAAGGAAUUUUAAUGAAACAUUGUUGCAUUAAAAGGAAAAAAAUCUGUAAAAUGAUAGACAAGCAUUUGUUUAUGUAUAUGUAGGUCUACAUAGGAUUGUAUAAACAGAAAAUACAGUGUAUGCACACUAGAUAAUUACCUGGGGAAGUAGGGACUGGCUGUGAGAGAAGAGACAGGAAAAUUGUCUAUAAUAAAAACAGCAUGUGUGUUAUGUUCUUAUUUCUAUAAAAUUA
rnacentral:antisense_RNA from 1 species